rnacentral:siRNA from 1 species
AAGCUUUGAUGGUGAAGCCAAAAU